CAUCCCUUCAAUUGAUUGCAAAUACGCACAACGAACUGGUGAGGGAGAACCCAUACCAGAAUGUCGCUACGUGAACCUACAUCACGAAUGUCCGGGUUUGCGAAGACGUUAGAAGGGCAUUUGAUACCUUUGAGAUAUUUAACGUUUUCAUGAGUAGUGUUAAAAACUUCCGUGAGAUUGCACUCUUUUCCCUCAUGUUGAAUCUUCUCUUCAUACAUCCACAUGUGUACUUGAGGAUGGAAAAUAUCAGGAUGAGCCUUGGCAUUUUCACCACAUAUUUUAGCAAUAGCGGUUCCCCAAUUUCCUGAUCCGAUGAUACCAACAGAAAUAAGUUUAGGUGAAAAAGAUUUUUGAAUACUUCCGGAGAGAGCGCUGAGUUUGUUCAAAGCAGCCACAGUCAUGGUUUUAUUUACAGUAAUUUCAAAAAACUGUUCAGGAAAUGACUAAUAAUAGACAAUCAAAGAAAUGGUUCACCAAAAAAGAAUAUGGUGUUGGCC